GUGAGGUGUGAACAUAGGUGCCUAACUGUGUGUCUUCAGUGGCCAUUAUAAUAUAGCUUGAGAAUUAAGUGUCUUCAAAGGUUGUCAUGAUUGUUGAAUAAACACCACCAUGUCUUCAUAAGGAGGGAUAGAUUGAAUCUUCUGAGAUCAACGACUCCCAGACCACUGAGGGAUUUGGAACAAUAGAUCUUAUCCCAACUGACAAUGCAAUGAGCUCCCGCACAUAGUUUCUCAUCUCUCCAAAGAAACUGUCACCUUAUUCUCUCCAAUUUGAG
rnacentral:lncRNA from 1 species